AGUGAACGCUGGCGGUAGGCCUAACACAUGCAAGUCGAACGGCAGCACAGGAGAGCUUGCUCUCUGGGUGGCGAGUGGCGGACGGGUGAGGAAUACAUCGGAAUCUGCCCAGUCGUGGGGGAUAACGUAGGGAAACUUACGCUAAUACCGCAUACGACCUUCGGGUGAAAGAGGGGGAUCGCAAGACCUCUCGCGAUUGGAUGAGCCGAUGUCGGAUUAGCUAGUUGGCGGGGUAAUGGCCCACCAAGGCGACGAUCCGGAGCUGGUCUGAGAGGAUGAACCGCCACACUGGAACUGAGACGCGGUCCAGACUCCUACGGGAGGCAGCAGUGGGGAAUAUUGGACAAUGGGCGCAAGCCUGAUCCAGCCAUACCGCGUGGGUGAAGAAGGCCUUCGGGUUGUAAAGCCCUUUUGUUGGGAAAGAAAUCUUUCAGGCUAAUACCCUGGGAGGAUGACGGUACCCAAAGAAUAAGCACCGGCUAACUUCGUG
rnacentral:rRNA from 1 species